rnacentral:misc_RNA from 1 species
AUGAAAACUUCAGGAGUUGCUGCUGGCCUCUCGAGGCACUCGUGCACGCUCCGUUUUUCAUCCACCCACACCUGUGCACAAUCCUUUUGAGAGGAAAGGAAGGGAUUUCUUCGGAGAGUCCUCUUUUCCUCCAAAAUUAUCACACACUCUACGCAAUCGUCAGAACGAACUUGUUUUUUGUAAACAAACUUAA